CCCUUAGAUGUUCUGGGCCGCACGCGUGCUACACUGAGUGGAUCAGCGGGUCAGGUUGCGCGAAAGUGUUUCCUAAUCUUUAAAUCCGCUCGUGAUGGGGAUUGACGGUUGCAAUUUUCUGUCAUGAACGAGGAAUACCCUGUAAGCGCGGGUCAUCAUCCCGCGCUGAAUACGUCCCUGCCCUUUGUACACACCGCCCGUCGCUCCUACCGAUUGAGUGGUCCGGUGAGGCUUUGGGAUCUGAGCGGAAAGAGCGUUUCGCUGUUUCUGCUCGGAAAACUCAGUCGAACCUUAUCAUUUAGAGGAAGGAGAAGUCGUAACA
rnacentral:rRNA from 1 species